AAGCAAGGAGGGACAGUGAGUCAAACUUUCAAGAACAUCAGUAGAAUCAAUGAUUAUGAUGCGCAAUUAGAACAUGUAUACUGUAGGACUGGAGAGAGAGAGAGAGCAGAGUUCCUUUGAUGACCUGAAUGCAUUGCAAGUUUACCUGAAAUCAGCGCUGCUGAUUUCAGAGGAAUUCAUUGUUUAUGCUGGUCAAAACUUGACGCUUUCAUGUCACCCGAGAGACUCUCCUUUAGAUUUCGUGUUCUGGUACAGAGUGGAUACAGACAACAAGAACGACCCCUUGGUGCUUCAUUCCAGAGGGCCUUCCUUCACCAUUACCAUGGCAACAGUCGAUGAC